rnacentral:lncRNA from 1 species
UCAACACAUCUUCAUAUGAGACAGUUACCAUUUUGUUAUUGUUAUGGUGAGAACAUUAAAGCUCUAUUUUCAUAGCAACUUUCAAGGAUAAAAUACAGUAUUGACAACUAUAGUCAAUGUGUGGUAAUUACAUAACCAGAACUUACUCAUUUUAUGACUGGAAGUUUGCACAAUUUGACCAACAACUCCAAAUUUCUUUUUUUUUUUUUUUGUCUUUUUGUCUUUUGUUGUUGUUGUUGUUGCUGUUGCUAUUUCUUGGGCCGCUCCCGUGGCAUAUGGAGGUUCCCAGAAAAGGCAAAAAGACAAAAAUAAAUAAAUAAAUGCUCUAAAGUGGUCAUUAGGUUGCCACAUUGGCAGUUGACCACCAACCAGACACAUCUAGAUCUUAAGUUUAAUACCUUUGUAGCUUCUUUUAUUAUAUCUCUGGAGAAGAGGCUCUAACUUUCAUCUUAGUUGUUAUUUUCAAGAAAAUGAAAUACAAAUUUUGGGGUAGAUGCUGAAAAAGAGAAACUCUAUUCUCCAUUCAGUACUUUGGUAUUUUCAAAAUUAAUGCAUUUGCUCAUGAAUUCAAUGAAUCUUCAUUAACAAGGCACUGCCUUGCCUUCUAGGAGCCUACAGUUCAGCUGGGGAUAGAGUUCAGUCUUUAAGAGCAAAUCAUGAGCAGUUUCAAUGAGGAAACGCUAGAAGAGAGGGAGCAGUAAAGAUACAGACCAGCCCAUGAGGAGAGGAGGAGAUAGUGUGCUGCAGAGCACAGGUGGACGCAUUAGCCCGGGCAAAGAGGACAUCCACUCUUCAAGAAUAACAGCCAGAGGAGAUGAAAGACUGGGUACAAAAGCAGUUUGAAAACAAGAAAAUGCAGGGAAUUAAUUCGUGUCUAGUGGUUUCUAUUAUUCUUCCUGUGGAAUUUUCUUCCGAAAAUCAAGAGGAAAGGCUCAAAACAUCAGAAAAAUUUAGAACAAUAUUAUGUCUUUCAUAGGGCUUUUACCCCAUCCCAGACACAAAGAUGUCCACAUUCACACAUGAGAUAAUACAAUUUCUGGGGUUGGGGGGGUCAAUUCUGAGUGCAAAAAGACAAGGAUCAGGGCAGUGUAAUAUAGUCCAAGUAUGAAGCUCACUGAUGGGAGGGUUUGUUUGGAUAUAAAGAUGAAACUGGAAAACACUGAGAAGCAGAGAAAAGUUAGCACCACAUACCUAUUGCUUCACUUAGACAACUGACAGGCCCCUGACAAUAUAAAUAAGUGGCCAAGAUCCCUUUGAAUGCCUAAAAGGCAGGUAUUUAAUGAUUUUUACUGACAGAAGAGUAAGGCAGUGCUCCUUAACCUUGGCUGCAUAUUGGAAUCACCUACUGUGGCAGGAAGCUAUUGCUAUACAACAAAUUACCACAAAACUCAAUAGCUUAAAACAAAGAACAUUUGUUUCCUCAUGCAAUUUCUAUGGAUUAGGAAUUUGGCAAUAGCUUAGUCAGGGGUUUUGGCUCAGCAUCUCUCAUGAGGCUGCAGAGUCAAGAUGUCAGCUCGGGCUGCAGUCAUCUGAAGGCUUGAAUGGGGCUUCCAAAAUGGCUUUCUCACAUGCCUUUGGCAGAAGGCUGUAAUAGGCAAGGUUCUCCAGAGAGGAACCAAUAAGAGAUAGAUAGAUAGAUAGAUAGAUAGAUAGAUAGAUAGAUAGAUAGAUAGAUAGAUAGAUAGAUAGAGAUACAGAGAGAAUUGGAGGCUGAGAAGGCCCAAGAUCUGCAGUCAACAAGCCAGUGUCCCAGGAGCACCAAUAUUACACUUCCAAUUCAAAUGCAAAAAAAAGCCCAAAAGCCAGAGGAGCUUAUGGUGUCAGUUCCAGUACCAAAGACACAGAUGUGAGACUCAAGAAGAGCAGACAUUUCAGUUCAAGUCUGAAGGCAGGAAGACUGAUGUCCCAGCUCAAGGACGUAGGCAAGAGGAGUUCCCUCUUAGUCUUUUCGUUUUAUUCAGGUCUUUAGCUGAUUGCAGGAAGCCCAUCCACAUUAGUGCGUGAAAUCUUCUUUGCUCAAUCUACCCUUUCAAAUGUAACCUCACCCUGACACAUCCUACAGACACAGCCAGAGUAAUGUUUGUCCAAAUAUCUGGGCACCUAUGGCCCAGUUAAGCUGACACGUAAAAUUAACCACAAAGGCCUC